GGGGAAGCCCUGUAUCGCUUUGGAAAAUGUUCCCAGGGCCAGCAAGUUUCCUCUGCCCAGAAGGCUCCCUGCCCCGUCCACCUGCUGCUUCUUCAGAGGCCCGCCUCUUCUGUUACUAGAAACAAAGCCUGGUGCACCUUCUCUGACUCCGUCAAGUACACCCCCAAUGUCUCUUUGCUGUGACUGUCCUCUCCACCUGCACUGGACUAGACCGCCACACAGUGGAGUGCAGUGCCCAGCCUCCCGACCAGGUCAUGAGGGGUGGAGGAUGCAACUGCACACAAACAGAGCCUCACGAGACAAAGUCACCAAUGUGAAAAAGACCUGGGAGUGAGGCCAGCAGAUAAAGCCAUCCUCCUAGGAAACGUUUGGAGGUAUAGCCCCUCCUUGCAACCUUCCUAGAGAAGUGCUGAACGGUGAACAAACUGCUGGGAGACAGAUACGGUCCCUCAUGGCUUGUGGAAAGGCUCUGGCCAGCGCACCCAACCAGCGCCUCUAUCCUUGUCCCGCUUCUCCCUCGUGCUCACACCUAGAGCUUGCACCUUCCAAAUAAAUCACUGGCAC